CUUUUGGAUCACCUCCCGCUCCUGGGCCUGAGUCUUGGCCCCGCGAAUCUCUUCGAUGAGGUCCUGAAGCUUCAGCGAAGGCACCACCAUCCUGACUGGCAGAGUCCGGGAGUGGAGAAACACUCUCUGGUCGGGCGUGCCUGGGCUUUCGGCCCAGGCCCGUCCUGUGUCAAGACCCUAAGAGCCCGGGUCCCACAGCGCUUCCUGGUACGGGGCCGAGCAGGGGUUGGUGCUCCGUGCGGUCCUUCCCUCUCCCCGCCUCCACCACGGGACCCCGCCCUCCUGGGCCGACUGCAGAGCCUUCCUGAAUCCUCUGACCUCGGGCCUCAGGCUUUAGCGGAGAGACAGCAUGAUAGGCCUGGAGUUCUUCAAGAGGCCUCCUCGCACAUCCUUACCACCCGGAGAGCCUCAGUUUGGAUUUGAAGCCAUCGCACCCCAAAGGAGAUGACAAUCCCCCCCCUUUUUUGAACUUUUUUAUUAAUAUAUUUUUUUUGUUAAAUUUCUUUGUAUUUUUUUCCUGCAAGACUUGGUGUUGGCGGC
rnacentral:lncRNA from 1 species